CUCAUUGUGGAAGGUGAUGAUGAUACUGGUGGGGGGAAGAUCCAUGCAGUAGACCAGCAGCGAACAUCUGGCAAGCAAAGGCAGAUGUUGCAGGAACAAAACUCCAAGUCUUGGGCUCUGCCCAAAUAUGGGCCCUCCUAGUCUUCCUACCCAAGCCUCUGGCCAGAGAGCAGAUCAACCCAACAGAAGCCUUAUCAUAUUCACUUCUGGACUGGCUGCUUCAGAGCAAGCAGAAGAAGCCGCAGAGACACGGUCCCUUCUUCAGCACCAGCGUGUGACUUGCCGGGCAUGAGGAAGGCCGGUGAAGGGAGCCAGCCAGCCUUGGGCCCAGAGACCUUUCCUGGACAUCAGUUUUCUCAGAGCGGAGCGCAGUGAGUUUGCUGCUGGCUUUGGGCAUCAGGUCUUGUUUUUCAAGCAGAGAACCUCUAAAUCCACUCCGAGCUUCACUCUGUGGAAGGACAUCUGCUCUCAGGGGGGAAAAAGGGAGAUGAACAUAAAAUACAAAAUGCCAGCUCUGUGGCUGGCCCCCAAGUUCACACCUGACUCUUUAGAAGGGCAAGACGCAGAUGGCAUAGAAAAGUGUGACGAGUGUAAAAUCAGAAAUUCCUUUUAAUCUCAUUUCAUGGGCGACACAGAUACACUGGAAGGCAUGAAAUUUUUAUUUCAUGUCAAUUUCACUGGGAUUUCACAUGCAGAUUAAUUUGUUUCAUCCGCAUAAACAUAUACUGUUCCUACUUUUUGCCUCAACAGCUAUUCUUUCUUAGUGUUAGAGAAAUUCCUUCUCUCAUAAAAGAUACUUCAAAUGAUACUAGGAGUUACUAUGCUGUUACAAUGGUACAUUUUAAUUGCUUAGUGUGUUACUGAAUCUCGGUAUACUCAGAAGGGAAAAAGUAGGCCAAAGCAGGCAGGUGACCUGCUGAGAGGACUUUGGCUGGGCACUGUGGUAGGCAGCUUUAAAGAUGGCCACCAAUCCACACCUCUUUGUAUAAGCCAUUCUCUUGGUGGGCUGAACUAGGUGACUCCCUGCCAAGGAGCGGAAAUAUCUACGGCAAGGUCACUGGUCCCAAAUCUGGCUGUCUCCCUUCAUCCAUCUUCCUCAUGAACAGAACAUUGCAAGUUGCUUAGUGGUGGUGAGAAGGAAGAAGAGGAAUCAGUGUGUCUCUGAGGCUUCUCCUGGCCUGGAAUGGACGCCAUAGAGAAUGGUAGAUGGAGGCGGAGCAGAAGGUGUUCCCCUCCACCCCACCCCACCCCACCUGCUUGCACACUUGGGCACACACAACUCUCUCCCAAGAAGUUAGUCCUGCCCUUAUUGGGAGUCAUGUGAUUGCGUUUGCCCUUACCUCUCCGGCUGUGGUGUUAGGGAAAUGGAGAAAAUGGAGACAAA